rnacentral:rRNA from 1 species
AAAUUGAAGAGUUUGAUCAUGGCUCAGAUUGAACGCUGGCGGCAGGCCUAACACAUGCAAGUCGAACGGUAACAGGAAGCAGCUUGCUGCUUCGCUGACGAGUGGCGGACGGGUGAGUAAUGUCUGGGAAGCUGCCUGAUGGAGGGGGAUAACUACUGGAAACGGUGGCUAAUACCGCAUAACGUCGCAAGACCAAAGAGGGGGACCUUCGGGCCUCUUGCCAUCAGAUGUGCCCAGAUGGGAUUAGCUUGUUGGUGAGGUAACGGCUCACCAAGGC